CAGUCGCCGCGGUAAUACGGAGGGUGCAAGCGUUAAUCGGAAUUACUGGGCGUAAAGCGCACGCAGGCGGUUUGUUAAGUCAGAUGUGAAAUCCCCGAGCUUAACUUGGGAACUGCAUUUGAAACUGGCAAGCUAGAGUCUUGUAGAGGGGGGGUAGAAUUCCAGGUGUAGCGGUGAAAUGCGUAGAGAUCUGGAGGAAUACCGGUGGCGAAGGCGGCCCCCUGGACAAAGACUGACGCUCAGGUGUGAAAGCGUGGGGAGCAAACAGGAUUAGAUACCCCUGUAGUCCCUGUCUCUUAUA
rnacentral:rRNA from 1 species